rnacentral:rRNA from 1 species
ACUCCUACGGGAGGCAGCAGUGAGGAAUAUUGGUCAAUGGGCGAGAGCCUGAACCAGCCAAGUAGCGUGCAGGAUGACGGCCCUAUGGGUUGUAAACUGCUUUUGAAGGGGAGUAAAGUGAGUGACGAGUCACUCAUUGCAAGUACCCUUGGAAUAAGGACCGGCUAAUUCCGUGCCAGCAGCCGCGGUAA